rnacentral:rRNA from 1 species
GUUCCCAUGCCGAACACGGAAGUUAAGCUCUUCAGCGCCGAUGGUAGUCGGGGGCUUCCCCCUGUGAGAGUAGGACGCCGCCAAGC